ACCUACCUUUGUUUGCUCCACAAAAACUAUUCUCUCACCUUCUUCUCUUUUAUUCACACACAGUGGAUGUGCACAAAUUCUAAGAAUUAUUUAUAAGAAUGUUACAAAAUUUUAAUUCUAAAAAAAUGUUAUUAUGUUGGCUCUUUGUCUCAAUCAACCACCCAUUUGGUAUGUUGGAGAUUCGAAGGAAGAAAAUAUGAACUUGCUAAGAAGUUAAAGAUGAUAAUCGUAAAUCACCGGUGGUUUGAAGAUUGUAUAAAAGAAGGGCAAGCGUUUGCCUGAGGCUCCUUAUAUGUUGCAAAGUGGAGAAGAAAUGGGACCUUUGUUGCUGGAGAUCCAUGAUCUUGCAAAGGGGGAUGCCUUGACUUAAAAAUGAAAAGUGUUUUCAGACAAAUCGAAUGUUCAUGAUGAUAUUAGAGAUGAAACAAUUGAUAUUGGCUAUGGAGGUUCUGGCUUAUCCGGGUGGUCCAAAUCUGCAUUGUUGGAUGUGGUAAUUACAUAAAAUUCUCUUCCCCAUUGCCUUCUCUCCCUCCCUCACUCUUGUCCUGCUUUCUCUCUCUUUAGUACACACCCCAUACAAACUCUUUGUCCAGAUAUAUAAUGCUUAUUUCAGUUAGACAACUAAAAAGAACUUUGACUGAUGAUGUAGCAUUUUUGGAUGAUUGUUUCAUUUUCAUGAAUGCAUGAUGAGCUCUUCAUUAGUGACUUGUAAACUAAUAUGAGACCAAUUUGUAGCAAGGCAGAAUCAUUGUAUGAAAUAGACCAGAUGACUUUAGUUAUGGUCAUAAACAAGUACGUCAAUCAAUGUAAUUUUUUAUA